CCUACGGGAGGCAGCAGUGAGGAAUAUUGGUCAAUGGUCGGGAGACUGAACCAGCCAAGCCGCGUGAGGGAUGAAGGUACAGAGUAUCGUAAACCUCUUUUGUCAGGGAACAAAGGCGGGGACGUGUCCCCGGCUGAGUGUACCUGAAGAAAAAGCAUCGGCUAACUCCGUGCCAGCAGCCGCGGUAAUACGGAGGAUGCGAGCGUUAUCCGGAUUUAUUGGGUUUAAAGGGUGCGCAGGCGGUCUGGUAAGUCAGCGGUCAAAGCCCGGGGCUCAACCCCGGCCCGCCGUUGAAACUGGCAGUCUCGAGUUGGAGAGAAGUAUGCGGAAUGCGCUGUGUAGCGGUGAAAUGCAUAGAGAUCGCGCAGAACUCCGAUUGCGAAGGCAGCAUGCCGGCUCCACACUGACGCUGAGGCACGAAAGCGUGGGUAUCGAACAGGAUUAGAUCAGUAGUC
rnacentral:rRNA from 1 species